rnacentral:lncRNA from 10 species
GUGAGGAAUGGGGAAGGAGGGUGGAGGAAGGAGCUUGUAAAUGAGCAGCUGGUUUGCAGCAAAACCGCACCUCACUCUGCACCUUUGGAUCCCUCUCAGCCUGAGGUUAGCACAGCCAAUGUCCUCACCAGCGUCUGCCAAAGCCCAUGGAGAAGGCCAGCAGGAGCAUAUCACUGUGACUUACAACCCUUCUCUAGUCUGCUACAAUGGAAUCUUAAACAAGAAAAUUUUAUAUUUUGACUUGCAUCAUUGAGAAAAACACUGCCAACCUGAUCGUGGUUCCUUUGAAGAAUCACUGCAGCAGGUGCGAGAGAGGACUCAUGGAGCUUGCAGAUGAGCUAGCCCAGAUGCAAUUCCAGGAAUGCCAGGAAGCAAACCAAUUCCACCCCAAGAUACAAACAAAGAACAGCACCCUCUCAAAUGAUGCUGCAUGAUAAGUGGCCACAGAGAGCACCGCUGUAAUCAGUCAGAAAGGCAGGUGAGCUAUUAGCUUACCCAGGAAUGUCCUACCUAAUGUA